UUCCGGUUGAUCCUGCCAGAGGUCACUGCUAUCGGUGUCCGAUUAAGCCAUGCGAGUCGAGAGGUGUAAGACCUCGGCAGACUGCUCAGUAACACGUGGAUAACCUGCCCAAGGGUCCGGGAUAACCCCGGGAAACUGGGGAUAAUACCGGAUGGGUCACCAGUGCUGGAAUGCUUGGUGGUCGAAAGGUGACGCCUUUGGAUGGGUCUGCGGCGGAUUAGGUUGACGCCGGUGUAACGUACCGGCGUGCCUGUAAUCCGUACGGGUUGUGGGAGCAAGAGCCCGGAGAUGGAUUCUGAGACACGAAUCCAGGCCCUACGGGGCGCAGCAGGCGCGAAAACUCUACAAUGCAGGCAACUGCGAUAGGGGGACAUCGAGUGGCAUCCACCUUGGGUGUCUGUCCAACCGUCUAAAAAACGGUUGUUAGCAAGGGCCGGGCAAGACCGGUGCCAGCCGCCGCGGUAAUACCGGCGGCUCGAGUGGUGGCCGAUAUUAUUGAGUCUAAAGGGUCCGUAGCCGGCUUUGCAAGUCCCCUGGGAAAUCCGGCGGCUUAACCGUUGGGCUUUCAUGGGAUACUACAUUGCUUGGGACUGGGAGAGGUAGGAGGUACUCGGGGGGUAGGGGUGAAAUCCUGUAAUCCUCCGGGGACCACCGGUGGCGAAGGCGUCCUACCAGAACAGGUCCGACGGUGAGGGACGAAAGCUAGGGGCACGAACCGGAUUAGAUACCCGGGUAGUCCUAGCCGUAAACGAUGCCCGCUAGGUGUCACGACGGUCGUGAAUCGUCGUGGUGCCGUAGGGAAGCCGCGAAGCGGGCCACUUGGGAAGUACAGCCGCAAGGCUGAAACUUAAAGGAAUUGGCGGGA
rnacentral:rRNA from 1 species